rnacentral:rRNA from 1 species
UACGAAGGGGGCUAGCGUUGUUCGGAUUUACUGGGCGUAAAGCGCACGUAGGCGGAUCGUUAAGUCCGGGGGUGAAAUCCUGGAGCUCAACUCCAGAACUGCCUUCGAUACUGGCGAUCUUGAGUCCGGAAGAGGUGAGUGGAACUCCUAGUGUAGAGGUGGAAUUCGUAGAUAUUAGGAAGAACACCAGUGGCGAAGGCGGCUCACUGGUCCGGUACUGACGCUGAGGUGCGAAAGCGUGGGGAGCAAACAGG